rnacentral:lncRNA from 1 species
UUCUCUGGGGGCUCUUUCUGCCUGCAUCUGGUUUGCAGGCCCAGGUUGCCGUCUGCUUGGAGUCUGGGCCAGGAGGAACCGGAGGGGAAAAUGACGUUGAACCAUCUCUGCAUCCCUGGAAUAAAUCGUUCUUGAUCAUGGGACCUGUGGGGGCAAGAUGGAGGGCAGUUUCUGGCAGGCUAACAGAGGUCCUGGGGCAGCACCUCUCCCACACUGCUGGAUCCAGGUUCCAGAGGCUUCUAGGCUGACAACUCACCUGAAACUGCAGUCAGGGGAAUCCAGCUGUUUGUCAUCAUGAAAGCUCAUGGAGCGAGAGUUCUAACUCUUGAUUGUCUGUGUGGCUUCCUCUCACGAUGGCAGCUUUACUGAGGCACCAGCCCAGGGGUCUGAGAGGAGCUCCCGCCCCUGCCGUACACCCACAACGUCACAGUGAGAAGGCAGUCAGCACCCCAUCAGGACAGAAGCCCGUACCCUGACUUGCGGACUUUCUGCUGGAAUUUCUAGCAGAGUUUACCCUUGGUCUUUCCCUGCAUAUGAACAUUAACACCGGCUUUCAGAGACCUGGACACCUUUACAGAGGCAAAAGGUUUAAAAAGAAAAAAUUAGAUUUUAUUUGAGAUAAGCAAAGGAUAUGAAUAAAUCAUCAAAUGAAACCAUUUGAAGUCAUUUCACAAAUACUUUAAGAAACCCACCAAUAAAAGCCCAAAGAACCAGUAAUAAGCUGCGUAUGCCACAUUUUUACUUUUAUGCAAAAGACAAGUAAACAAGCUGCUAUCAAGGAUGUAUUCCUUCAGGAGAAGGAAGUUCCAAGAUUCAUUGUAGGGUCAGCACAGCCGCACUCAGUCCCCGGGCCUCUUUAACAAUUUGUGGCCCGAAUCAUCUCCAAAGAAAAGUGAGUUUCAAGAAUGUUCUAUGUGGGCAUUUUUACGAUGCCCGUA